rnacentral:rRNA from 1 species
AUUGAACGCUGGCGGCAGGCCUAACACAUGCAAGUCGAACGAGUGGCGGACGGGUGAGUAAUGUAUGGGAAACUGCCUGAUGGAGGGGGAUAACUACUGGAACCGGUAGCUACUCCCGCAUACCAUCAGAUGUGCCCAGGUGGGAUUAGCUGGUUGGUGGGGAAAAGGCUCUCAAAGGCGACGCUCCCUAGCUGGUCUGAGAGGGUGACCAGCCACACUGGAACUGAGACACGGUCCAGACUCCUACGGGAGGCAGCAGUGGGGAAUAUGGCACAAUGGGCGCAAGCCUGAUGCAGCCAUGCCGCGUGUAUGAAGAAGGCCUUCGGGUUGUAAAGUACUUUCAGCGGGGAGGCGUUACCCGCAGAAGAAGCACCGGCUAACUCCGUGCCAGCAGCCGCGGUAAUAC